rnacentral:rRNA from 1 species
GAUGAACGCUGGCGGCGUGCCUAAUACAUGCAAGUCGAGCGAACAGACGAGGAGCUUGCUCCUCUGACGUUAGCGGCGGACGGGUGAGUAACACGUGGAUAACCUACCUAUAAGACUGGGAUAACUUCGGGAAACCGGAGCUAAUACCGGAUAACAUGUUGAACCGCAUGGUUCAACAGUGAAAGACGGUCUUGCUGUCACUUAUAGAUGGAUCCGCGCCGCAUUAGCUAGUUGGUAAGGUAACGGCUUACCAAGGCAACGAUGCGUAGCCGACCUGAGAGGGUGAUCGGCCACACUGGAACUGAGACACGGUCCAGACUCCUACGGGAGGCAGCAGUAGGGAAUCUUCCGCAAUGGGCGAGAGCCUGACGGAGCAACGCCGCGUGAGUGAAGAAGGUCUUCGGAUUGUAAAACUCUGUUAUUAGGGAAGAACAAAUGUGUAAGUAACUAUGCACGUCUUGACGGUACCUAAUCAGAAAGCCACGGCUAACUACGUG